UGGCCGGAGGGUUCAAGCAGCCAGAGAGAAGCGCUGCAUAGUGGAAACUGUGACUAGUAAGAGAAGUCGUACAGCUGUGCCGGAGAGCCAGCGGUUGAGAGCUGCCCAAAAGAACCGAGGGCAAAGACAUACGGGUGUCUUCGCAGACGGAGCUGCUUUCGAGAGGGGCUCCAUCACCCAGGCUUUCCUUCCCAUAAGGCUCCCAUCUGUGGGGGGAGAUGGCUUGCUUGCAGGAGUGGGAGGGAGGGGUAGGAGAGGUACAGCUGGAGGAGGCUCCAUGGAAAGACUGUGGAAACGUGGAAAGCGGGGAAAUGAAGAGGGACACGUCACUCAUUGCAAGCUGAAAUGCGGAGGGGGUGGUGAAGAGAAGAGGAGCAGGGAGGCAGAGAUUUGGAAGCCUCGUCACAGAAGGACUGGCCUCAAGAGCACAGAGCAGGGAGAAGUCAAGAUCCUAUGACCAGCCAUCAUGGUGACUCUUCCUCUUCUCCUCUUCUUCGUCCUCUUGCCCUGCAGUAAAUCCCAGGAGGACUUUCUGGACCAGCAUCAGAAAUGGAACUACAGAGAAGGUGCUGACAAGGUCAACAUAGAAGGCAUUAACAGCAUUACUCAAACCCUUGAGAAAUGGGGAAACGGCAUCUUCUGGCAGAUGAAGCACACCCUGCUGAACAACCCAAACGCUUUACUGCCUGAGUUCUCCAGUCUCCGCCCUGUCUCCGCAGCUGUGGACAAUCUCGUGAGGCAAGUCCAGUCAAUAAGGAAAAGGCUAGAAGAACUGAACGAACGCCUCAAUGUCAUCAACAAAACCAUCCUUCCCAUGCGACUGAAUGCGCUGCGGAGCCAGAGGCGUGGAAAUACUCAGCUGCGGAGACUUCCGAUGCAUAGGAGAAGGUUGUAUGCUCGCAGGAGACCUCAGAGGAGUUAAUUCUCUAUCAGGAAAAAGGGAAAGCUUUAUUUUUUUCAUCUGCUUAAGCCUUUCUCAGUGGGAUGCUGCUAGAGAGAAUAAAGUAAAGGAUAUACAAGUCAGCUUUACUAAGGAGACCAGAACUUCUGCAUUUUGUUGCUGCCUUUCAAACCUAGGUCAGUAGGUGAAAUCUGACCCUGUUCUGCAAUGGCUGUUUUGUGUCCCAAGCAAAAUGAGUUGACAAGCUCAGUCUACUUGAGUGUGAAUACCUUUAGGCUAUACAGUCAUUCUUUCUGCUUACCAGAGGAAGCUUUUUCUAUAAAGAUCAGGUGAAUGUUCUCUCUGUCCUAUUUUUACAGCACUCCAUCUGAAACAGCUGGGGAAUUUGAUAUUCAAAAGUGCUGAACGCCUGAUGAAUGCAGAAAGAUAGAUUAGUGCUUGGCACUUCCAGCUGGGCAGGGAGGGGGGAGGAAGCUGUGUUUUAAAAUACAGCCUUAACCUAUUCUCCAUGAGUGCAAAGAACACCCCGUUCACAUGUUCAGUGGUUGGGUAGGGUUGGAUAACCUUGGUCUGUGGAUCAUGUUUCAAGACUGAAGAUGUGUCAGAUUCUAGGGACCAAAUCUGAACACUUACCUUCUGCAAAGAGCUUUUUUUUUUUAGCUACCUGGAACUGGGCACUCAGAACCUUGUUAUUCAGCAGAUAUGUUCAGAAUUUCCAGCAUUUGGAAGGACAUCGCAUUGACUUCUGCCAAGAUCCUUGGAAACAAGGGGAUGUUUUUCAAAACUAUUUAGAUACCUAAUGGCAUAGAUAGGUGUCUAGAAGGAUUUCCCAAAAUAGCUUCAGAGACAGUCCAGUCCCCAAAAUCACAGGUAAUAAUUCAACUGGUGUCUAAUUUGUAGAGUAUCUUCUCCACAUGCAAGCACUGGCCUGCAGACAUUUCCCAACAUCCUUUAGCACAAUUAGGAUCUGUAGAAAAAGAACAACUACCCACCCCAAGGACUUCGGUGCCUCAGGGAGUACCCAGAAUACCCUGCCUUCAGCUUGUCUUUGCCUGUGGCUUCCUGACAAUAAAAUUGGUGAUAAAAACCGGUGCAGAAAUCAAAUUAUGCACUAAGCACAGGAUAGAGUGGGCGUGCCCUUCAAGUCUCUAAAGGUAAAUCCAACACAGAGAUUCCCAUCCAACGUUGCAGCCAACUGCAUACCUAAAACCUGUUGAAACAUAGGCAGAAGAGUCAGAGAGGAAAAUAAACUAUUUUUUUUAAAGGUCUGGAUGAAGCAAUUUAUGAGAACAAAAAUAAAGAAUGCAUUAUGUCUAAAUGGUUGUGGAGGAGGCUGGCAUGACAGUUGUUUUGCAAACACUCUCCAGUCAUAAACAGUGAUGAUGCAGACUAGCUAUUUAAGGAUUCCCAAGGCCUGACUUUAUGGAAAGAAGUUCAGUGACACUACAAUGACCUCCAGAGGGAAAAGGGAAAAACUAGUUUCAUAGGAAAUCUUUCAGAAUGAACCAGAAGAGUAUUUUGGCUGCGACUGGGGAGUUGAGUGGGGGGUGGGGGUGGUGUAUGAGGAGUAUAUCAGACAAUCUGAUAAAUAUUUCCCGUAUGUAAAUUCUCUGAGUUCAGGUUUUCAGAAAAUAACAAAACUCUAACUUGGAAGGUCUUUCCUUGGCUUUUGCUUGGGAAUUUGAAACACAGCUUAGCUAGACAAGUGAAAAAUCAAGCCUGUGAAAAGGCUGAUAAAAGGAUACAGUUGUGCCUUUGGUGAAGUUGUCAUCAUAAUUUCUCAGGAAAUGUAGCGUAUUUUGAUCCCAGAAUAUAUUUACUUAAAUUACAAGCAAUAACAGGAGAGAAAGCCCCCUCCCCCGCCUUGUUAUUCUGCAUUCAGAGCUACUUGGCUGUGCUGUAGCAUCAGCUGCAUGCUUGCACAGACUGCUGGUCCCUCCAGGGCAUGAUUUUCACACUUUGCUUGGGGCUGUAGGGACUGCUGGUCAGUUUGGCCUAUCUGGAUGAAGAAUACAACAUAAAUGUCAUUUUUCAUGUUCAUGUUUUAGACAUGAGCAACCUGAAGUUGUAUAAAAUCAGUUGAGGAUUACUUGAAACAGAAAGAUGAGCCUUCUCUCAGUCACAGAUGGCUGGAGGUGGGAGGCCAGACCAGAUCACUGCAUGCUUUUACUUUUUACCUACAUGUCCACCACUGGUUUCUGCCAGAGGCAGAACUGGGUGAGAUGGACCUCUGGUCAGACCUGGUCCAUGUAUUCCUACACUGAUAUGUGCAAGUUGGUAUUUUUGGCACAACUCCUCAGCUCAAUGGAGAAACUCACCAUUCGUUUUAAGAGAACAAAUAAGCUGCAGCAUGCAAGGUAUAUUACAGUUCUGC